rnacentral:misc_RNA from 1 species
UAACCGUAGGUGAACCUGCGGUUGGAUCAUUAACAAUUUUCACAGGAGCUGUCUUCGGAUGGCAUCUGUGCAAAAACAAUUCACAUUUUGUGCACUGUAUGUCUCUGGCGGCCGGACCAAAGCAAGCACCUACUGGAUGUGAUGCUUUGUUCUGUCAGCUUGGUCCACUUGUGGGCUAGGCCGUGGACAAACCGCCAACCACUUUUCUUUAACUCAUUAUUCAUUCUUCUGUCUAACAUAUAUUGUCGUAUUGAAAAUACAAAAAAACUUUUGGCAACGGAUCUCUUGGCUCUC